UGCUCAUCUAUAUUGUCUUUUCCACAAAUAUGUACAAUUUGGAAUUCUUCUAAUAAUUGAUCAAGACCUUCACGAAUGGCCUGGUUAAUCUUUUGCGAGCCUGCACUUCCACCCAUUAUAAGUAACACGUUUUUUGAACCACUAAAACCUGUUAAUUGAAAUCC
rnacentral:ncRNA from 1 species